rnacentral:miRNA from 1 species
UAAAGAUUGUUGGUAUGUUC